AGUGAACGCUGGCGGUAGGCCUAACACAUGCAAGUCGAACGGCAGCACAGUAAGAGCUUGCUCUUACGGGUGGCGAGUGGCGGACGGGUGAGGAGUACAUCGGAAUCUACUUUUUCGUGGGGGAUAACGUAGGGAAGCUUACGCUAAUACCGCAUACGACCUACGGGUGAAAUCAGGGGAUCUUCGGACCUUGCGCGAUUGAAUGAGCCGAUGUCGGAUUAGCUAGUUGGCGGGGUAAAGGCCCACCAAGGCGACGAUCCGUAGCUGGUCUGAGAGGAUGAUCAGCCACACUGGAACUGAGACACGGUCCAGACUCCUACGGGAGGCAGCAGUGGGGAAUAUUGGACAAUGGGCGCAAGCCUGAUCCAGCCAUACCGCGUGGGUGAAGAAGGCCUUCGGGUUGUAAAGCCCUUUUGUUGGGAAAGAAAAGCAGCAGGUUAAUACCCCGCUGUUCUGACGGUACCCAAAGAAUAAGCACCGGCUAACUUCGUG
rnacentral:rRNA from 1 species